rnacentral:rRNA from 1 species
CCUACGGGUGGCAGCAGUAGGGAAUCUUUCACAAUGGGCGAAAGCCUGAUGGAGCAACGCCGCGUGCAGGAUGAAGGCCUUCGGGUUGUAAACUGCUUUUAUAAGCGAGAAAGAUGAUGGUAACUUAUGAAUAAGGAUCGGCUAACUACGUGCCAGCAGCCGCGGUCAUACGUAGGAUCCGAGCAUUAUCCGGAGUGACUGGGUGUAAAGAGUUGCGGAGGUGGCGUAAUAAGUAGCUAGUGAAAUCUGGUGGCUCAACCAUUCAGACUGGUAGCUAAACUGUUAAGCUCGAGACCGUUAGAGGUAACUGGAAUUUCUAGUGUAGGAGUGAAAUCCGUAGAUAUUAGGAGGAACACCAAUGGCGUAGGCAGGUUACUGGGACGGUUCUGACACUGAGGCACGAAAGCGUCGGGAGCAAACAGGAUUAGAUACCCUUGUAGUC